UACGUAGGGUGCAAGCGUUAAUCGGAAUUACUGGGCGUAAAGCGUGCGCAGGCGGUCGUGCAAGCCAGAUGUGAAAUCCCCGGGCUUAACCUGGGAACUGCAUUUGUGACUGCACGGCUGGAGUGCGGCAGAGGGGGAUGGAAUUCCGCGUGUAGCAGUGAAAUGCGUAGAUAUGCGGAGGAACACCGAUGGCGAAGGCAAUCCCCUGGGCCUGCACUGACGCUCAUGCACGAAAGCGUGGGGAGCAAACAGG
rnacentral:rRNA from 1 species